rnacentral:rRNA from 1 species
GAUGAACGCUAGCGGCAGGCUUAACACAUGCAAGUCGAGGGGCAGCAUUUCUUUCGAGAAGAUGGCGACCGGCGCACGGGUGCGUAACGCGUAUACAAUCUACCUUGUACAUGAGGAUAGGCUUUAGAAAUGAAGAUUAAUACUCAAUAGUUUAUACAGUAGGCAUCUACCGUAUAUUAAAGGAAAUUUCUGGUACAAGAUGAGUAUGCGUCCUAUUAGCUAGAUGGCAAGGUAACAGCUUCCCAUGGCAACGAUAGGUAGGGGGUCUGAGAGGAUUAUCCCCCACACUGGUACUGAGACACGGACCAGACUCCUACGGGAGGCAGCAGUGAGGAAUCUUGGUCAAUGGGCGAUAGCCUGAACCAGCCAUGCCGCGUGCAGGAAGACAGCCUUAUGGGUUGUAAACUGCUUUUAUACGAGAAGAAUAUAUUCGACGUGUCGAGUUUUGACGGUAUCGUAUGAAUAAGCACCGGCUAACUCCG